rnacentral:rRNA from 1 species
AAGUCGUAACAAGGUUUCCGUAGGUGAACCUGCGGAAGGAUCAUUACCGAGUAAGGGCGUGCCCCCUCCAAGGGGUGCCCCGACCUCCCAACCCUGUGUCUAUGUUACCUCAGUUGCUUCGGUGGGCCGGACGUCGACCAACUGGUCGUGCGACCGCCGGCCUUGACGGGCUGGAGAGCUUGCCCACCGAUGGCCUCACAACCUUCUUUGUACCGAAACCUGUCGUCUGAAGAAACGUGAUUGUAUAAUCAAAAAACAAAACUUUCAACAACGGAUCUCUUGGUUCUGGCAUCGAUGAAGAACGCAGCGAAAUGCGAUAAGUAAUGCGAAUUGCAGAAUUUCCGUGAGUCAUCGAAUCUUUGAACGCACAUUGCGCCCACUGGUAUUCCGGUGGGCAUGCCUGUUCGAGCGUCAUUAUCCUCCCUCAAACCUCGGGUUUGGUGUUGGGCCGACGUCGGUCCCCGCGACCGACUGGCCCCAAAGACAAUGACGGCGUCCGGGGGACCCUCUUCGCAACGAGCUUCUCGGAGCACGCGUCGAGUUUCAAGGACCCCACGGGCCGGUCUACCUCCAUAUUUUUCUAGGUUGACCUCGGAUCAGGUAGGAAUACCCGCUGAACUUAA